UGACUGACCAACAGAAACUUCCAUUUCAACUUAGUCGGUGUACAUUAUAAUGUACAGUUUUGAUAGCAAAUGAAUACAAAGGUUUCUCUAUGUGUAUCAUUCACCAGUAAUCACCGCAAGAGCAAGAACCAUCCACAAAAUGGUGAAAUCGGUUUCGAUCCCUCACAAUUAUUUUGCGUCCUGUAAUUUUUGAGAUGAGCUUAGUAACAGUAUGACAAUCUAGACAUACCCUUAGGUUCUUGACAAUCUUAAUAGUAGUUCCCUGACUGGUACUUAUAAGUCCAAAGGCAAUUGCAAGCUUUUCACUAUGAACUUCAAGCGAUCGCUCUUUCUCAGUGUCUCCAAUAUCAUGUAACACUGUGUCUAUCUUAGGUACAUAUCCAUGAGCUUUUAGCCGUCGAUUCAUCUCCUCUAACAUCAUGUAAAUCUCUUUACUAUUCGGGUGUUUCCAGUCACCAGAAAGAAAUUCAUGUACCUUGUUGUCCACCUCAAUUGAACUGCAACCUGGCUCCUUUUGGACCCCACUUUGCUUCAUCAUUGACCUUACUCUUGCAACCCCGUCCCAAUUGCCAGUAGCUGCAUAUAUAUUAGAAAGAAGAACAAAAGUUCCUGAAUUUGCAAUUUUAUGCUCCACAAGAGAUCCCGCAAUAACCUCUGCCAAAUUCAGGUUUCCAUGAAGUCUACAUGCAGCAAGUAGAGUUCCCCAUAAAACAGGAUCCGGGUCAAUCUUCAUGUUCUUAAUGAGCUGAUAUGCAUCUUCCAAGUGCCCAGCACGGCCAAGAAGAUUUACCAUACAUCCAUAAUGCUCAACCUUAGGCUGAAACCCAUAUUCAUCUUUCAUUAAAUUGAAAAAGGCCCAACCUUCAGAGAUCAGUCCAGCAUUAGCACAAGCAUUUAAAAUACCAAGAAAUGUUAUAUCAGUUGGUUCAACACACAUUCGACGCAUCUCAUUAAACAACUCUAAUGCUUCUCGGCUAAGCCCAUGCAUUGCAUAUCCCAGAAUCAUGGAAUUCCAUGCAACAACAUCCUUCAAGAUCAUUCCAUCAAACACUGCCCUAGCAUCCUCCAAACUUCCACAUUUGCUGUACAUAUCAACCAAAGCAGUACCAACAUGGACAUUUAUUUUAAUGCCAUUAUUCUUCAGGUAAGCAUGAACCCACAGGGCUGACUCCAAAGACCCCAAUUGCCCACAUGCAGAAAGAAUUGCAAGCAUAGUCACUUCAUUAGGCUUCACCUUUGCCGAUAACAUCUGCCUAAAAAGUACUAGAGCUUCAUUUGGCCUUCCAUGCUGAGUAUACCCAUCAAUCAUCACAUUCCAGCAGACUACAUCCCUGUCAUCCAUCUCAUUGAACAAAGCUCUCGCCUCAUCAACAUCCCCACUCUUUGCAUACCCAGUAAUCAUUGCCGUCAAUGAAACCAAACUUCUUUCAGGCAUUGUGUCAAACAAUUGACGGGCAGACACCACAUCACCACUUCUUGCAUAAAUAUCCACAAGUGCAGUUCUCACAUAUGUAUCACAGUCAAAUCUGAACUUGAGGGCUUGGCAAUGAAGAGCUCGCCCAAGAUCAAAAGGGCAAGCUUUAAGGAUAGCCGAGAACGUAAAUGCAUUGGGUUCAACGUUUUCCAUGAGCAUUUGAACGUAGUAAACCAAAGCUUCAUUAUGAAGAUUAUUCAUGGCAUGGCUAUGAAUGAUGGUAGUGUAAAAGAAAACAUUGGGAUUGUGAGAUUUCUUGAAAAGUGUAACUGUCUGUUGAAGAUAGCCAAAAGAAGAGUAAGAGCGCUGGAGCUUGAAAUUCAAGACAGGGUAAUUUUCAAAGCCAUGACGCAUGAGGAAUGCAUGAAUUUGUCGAAUGUGAUUGAUGGUUUUUGAUUUGUCGAUAAAAAAUGCAAGGUUAUCAGGAGAUGGUGGAGAAUAAUUUUUCUUGAUGGUUGUUUUGGUCGGUGUAAGUGUUGGUGGAGCGGUAAAAAGGGAAGUUGAAGACAUGAUUUACUAGCUGCGCCCCCAAAGCUUAGCUUUCACAAGAUUCAAGUUGUCAGAGAAACAAUUAAACCUGAAUGCUGGAGGGUCAUUACUGGUGCAAGCAUCUAAGAUAUCCAUUCUAUGUAAGACUAAGUAAACGCUGGACUAGCUGAGGAGUCAAUUUCUGCAGCAAGCAAUUUCCCUUGUUGAGAUAAAACCCGGAAUUAGUGCCUAACAGAUUAGAACUCAGGAAAAAUCAUGUAAGAUACACUUGAAAUAAAUGGAACAAGUUAAGAAGUGACAAACAAUUAUAGGCACUAGCGCAUGUUGGUGUUUUUAGUUAAUUUCAGAAAUUUUUGUACUAUCGGUUUAUUCAUUGCAAGUAAAGAGGUACGUCAAUCAAUUACAGAAGUUACCUUGAAAUGUCAUGUUUGUCGCAAUGCAUUUCGACUAUACAGCCUACGAAUACAGAUUUUUUACUGAAAAAAAGUCAGAGGCUUAAAAAAGAGAAACUCAAAGAAUUUUCUGGAAUUUUUUUGUUACUUCUCUACUCUACUAGAGUUGGAUUUCUGACAACUCUUACUGUAAUUUCCCUCCUUUUAUUUUCUUUUCUUUUCUUGCACCAGCUUGCCUUGUGAAGUCCUAGAAGAGCAAUAUGAAACCAAAGAAAGAAGAACAAUCUAAGCACAUCAACCUACUUCCUCCCGGAAAAGUUCACCUUGUGUAUCAAUUAUCAGCCAAACUUCAGAAGAAUUCCUCCUCGAACUGUUAUCUUUUGUGCACUUAAAUAGAGAAUGAUGCGCUCUUCCACUUACUAAUCUUUUGUAAAAGCUCUUGGUUCUACCAUUUCAAUUCCAUGAAGAUAGAGAAUGUAUUAACAAACUUCUAAUUUUCCAUCAAAUAUUGCUGGUAGAAUCUCAUAUUCAUCAUUUACAACCAUUGAAUAACAUAAUCUCGAAUUGGCACAGUAAAAAACUACCUCAAAACCCACAAGGGUCACAUCAAAAUCGAAACAUAAUGAGAUAUUUAAGCCAGUAAUUGCUUCAAACAGUUGGCAGGCAUCUUCAACUACCUUACUUAAUUCACACUAUACAAACGCUAGUUGAUUUCUUUUGUGCAUUCCCAAUGUUCGGGUACGUGGAUUUACAGCUAAAUUUGCAGUUAGAUAUUGUGGUCAAGUACAGAAAGACUACUAGAGAUAGAGAAGAUGUAUUCACCUGAGGAGCUUGAUAACUGCUGCUUAGGAGUCGGAGAGAAAUGGCGGAGGGAAGAAAGAUGGAGCCAUGCUGAUUAGUCCAUUUCUGUUUUCCUUUCCUUUCAGGAUAGCUUUGCGGAGAUGGAUUUGUUUGCGACGUCGUUUCCUGUCGUUGUUUACUCCCUAUUUGCUACUAGAGAAUAUUUCCUAGUAGCAUUUAUUUCUCAUUAACAUUAUUUGAGUAAUUUCACUUUUUCCUUCAAAAAAAAAAAGUGAUUUCAUUUUGGUUACUAUUUCCAAAUUGAGACUUUUUAUUCGUCUGAGGUAAAUUUUUCCCAAACCCUUUAACAAGAGCACAUGUCAGCCAAACCGUACUAGUUGUUUUUAUUCUUAAUAUGGAAUUGAGUCCUCAAAUGCUGGAAAAUCAAUUCCGUAAAAAAAUCAACUUUUCAAAAUUUCACUUGGCGCAUUAAAAUAUAGUUAAAAAAUGAAUCAAAUUAUUUGAUACUCGAAUUGAACUCGACUUGAUAAAAACUCGUUCAAAUUUAGUUCGUUAACUAAUCAAACCAAAUUUGAAUAAUGUUUUAUAUUUGAUAACAUUAUUCAAAUUCGAUUAAAAAAAUAACUCUCUCGAACUUGAUUUGACAAAUAAAUAAGUCAAAUUUGAACAAAAUUUCAUAUUCGUUAAAAUAAUCAAAUAAGUUUCAACUAGAAUAUUCAACUUAAUUAAGUUCAUUUACACCCCUACAUCAAAAAAUUCAAAAUUAAAAAAAAAAAAAAACAGAAUCCCUAACAAGCAUUACAAAAAACAAAAAGAAAAAAGCCCUCAUAAUUCUUGUUACGUGUAAAUAGAAAUUUGACGUAUUUAAAAUAAUGAAAAUAUCACCAUGAUCUCCCUUAUUUAUCUUGUGGUGCGCAUUUGCUUAAAUUUUUACGCCAACUAUUCUUCGUUGCUCCGGACUAAAAUCCAAAUUGAAGUUGCGUAAAAAACGAAGCAGAAAAGAAAAGAAAGAAAGAAAGAAAGCAAAUCUUAACCAAGUAACAAGAACUAUAAGAAGCAAAAUUAUCAAGCUUUUGACUUGCUUGAAUCCAAGUUCGGGCCCUACAAAAUAUUGAACCACAAAAUGUAUUCCAUUUUUACACUAACAUAUGCUUUAAACAUUGUCAAAAACUUCCUUUUACAUAAAAUCAAUACCUUAGCAAGUUCAAAUUGCCAAAUUCAUCUUUUCCAAAUCAUAAAAAUGCACCCCCUAGUUACAUAUAUUCUUGAACUUGAUCCAGCUGAAUCAACCUUAUACAAGCACUCAGCUAGAAAUCAAACAGGGCUCAAGUCAUACAAGUUAAACAAACCAUCCCAGCCACUCAAAACAAGCCAUUCCAAGCUUCUUCUUCUUUCCCCCCCCCCCCCUUGCUCCUGAAAACAAGUAGCAUUGUUCAUUGAUCUGCUACAGAUUGGAGGAGGGAUUUUAAGAAUAGAAGAAAAUAAAUAAGAACCAUGGGUUUAUGAUGAUCUACAUUCUUUUGGCACAAAACUGAAGCUUAUGAGGACGAAUUUUAAUCCUCAGAGUCUCUGCUUUCAGGAAGUACUAUUCCUUCUGAAUUGAUGAACCUGUUUGUUGCACCAAAAAUAUCAGCUAGUUGCAGAACUGUUGUUUGACAUGUAGCAGUCAUUGGCAGGAAUGUAUCUGGAAGGCUAGGGACACAUUCAGGGAGAAACUCAAUCUUUAUGGAUGUUCGAGUAUACAGGCCGAGCACUGCCCGACAAAAUAUGAAUCUGCAAAAGGGCAACAUACUUUCACCUCCAAAACGUAUAUUAUUUUCAAAAAGAGGCUCUUCUAAAGCCAAAGGACAGUCUACUACAAUGAACCCAAAAUUUAAAACCAAAAAAAAAAUAACAAUAAUAAUAAAAUAAAGGAUCUUAAAGCCCAUAAAGCAAUGUGUCUUUCGGAUGUUCCAACAUUUAGCUGCUUUCAAUGUAAAUAGAAGUCAAAACGCUUGAUGUACUGAACUACUGAUAGCUUGAAAUUUCAUGUUCACCAGAGGUCCACAAGUUCAAAUCAAAUAGGUACUAGGCAAAGGAUAAUUGAGAAAAGUAUAAGCAGCACUUAAUUACCUCAGGAGGAGGAGUCUAAUGAAUGGAUCAGCCAAAAUUUGAGCCCAAACAGGAUUAAGAUUGUCUGAUGCAGCCAGUAGUGAUCCCCACUCAUUUAACGAUGAGGAAAGCAACUUCUCAGCUUUAUUAUACAAAUCCUGACAACACAUACUUCUUCUGAGACUUUGCUGAUCCUUAAAGAAAAUUAAACUAAAAAGUGGAAAAAACUGAAGGGAACACUAUUGACUACUAUCUAACCGUCUCAAUAUCAGAGCUGGUAAAACCAAGCAUAAGAAUAAAAGCCUGCAGAGGAGCUGUCAGGAAAUUGGUGAAUGGACUUCCACCAGGCUGGCGAGAAGAGUCAACAACUGAUAUAGGCAAUGAGGCAGUGGGUGACAGGAGCAUGGCAACUGGCUCUCCUUUUUCAGCUCCAUGUAUAGCCUAUCCACGGUGCAUGCCACAACUAGGUGAUGUCAAUAGUUAUCAACUCCUAGAAAUUGAUUUAUCAGUACUUUUAAACGAAACAGAGACUUCCAUUUAAAAUUUUACAAUGUAUUUUCUAAACGAAACAGAGAAUUCCAUUUACAAUUGUUUACGAUGUAUUUUCAAUGUCGAACACAAUACCGAAGCAACUUCAAUGACUGACCAACAGAAACUUCCAUUUCAACUUAGUCGGUGUACAUUAUAAUGUACAGUUUUGAUAGCAAAUGAAUACAAAGGUUUCUCUAUGUGUAUCAUUCACCAGUAAUCACCGCAAGAGCAAGAACCAUCCACAAAAUGGUGAAAUCGGUUUCGAUCCCUCACAAUUAUUUUGCGUCCUGUAAUUUUUGAGAUGAGCUUAGUAACAGUAUGACAAUCUAGACAUACCCUUAGGUUCUUGACAAUCUUAAUAGUAGUUCCCUGACUGGUACUUAUAAGUCCAAAGGCAAUUGCAAGCUUUUCACUAUGAACUUCAAGCGAUCGCUCUUUCUCAGUGUCUCCAAUAUCAUGUAACACUGUGUCUAUCUUAGGUACAUAUCCAUGAGCUUUUAGCCGUCGAUUCAUCUCCUCUAACAUCAUGUAAAUCUCUUUACUAUUCGGGUGUUUCCAGUCACCAGAAAGAAAUUCAUGUACCUUGUUGUCCACCUCAAUUGAACUGCAACCUGGCUCCUUUUGGACCCCACUUUGCUUCAUCAUUGACCUUACUCUUGCAACCCCGUCCCAAUUGCCAGUAGCUGCAUAUAUAUUAGAAAGAAGAACAAAAGUUCCUGAAUUUG
rnacentral:lncRNA from 1 species